rnacentral:rRNA from 1 species
AUGAAGUACAUGGGGCAGCUGGUGGUGGCGCUCCUGGCCUUCUCGGCGGUGGUGCUGAUGGUGGCGCCGGCUGGCGUGGACGCAGCGACGUGUGACGCGCUGCAGCUGAGCCCGUGCGCGGGCGCGAUCGUCGGGAACGCGGCGCCCACGGCGGUGUGCUGCAGCAGGAUGAAGGCGCAGAGGCCGUGCAUGUGCCAGUACGCGCGCGACCCCAACCUGAAGCAGUAUGUCAACUCCCCCAACGGCAAGAAGGUCCUGGCCGCCUGCAAGGUGCCCGUGCCAUCAUGCUAA